ensembl:snoRNA D1046.6 ncRNA
CCCGCGCCUAGAAACUCAGCGGUGUUUUGUCUUUAUGAUCAUGAGCUGGUAGCAGGUGCAAUAUUGAUUCGGAGUCUUACCGGCGUCCACCUUCUGAAGGGUGUGCGUUAAAAGUUCAUCCGAACAAUU